GUAGUCAUAUGCUUGUCUCAAAGAUUAAGCCAUGCAUGUCUAAGUAUAAGCAAUAUAUACCGUGAAACUGCGAAUGGCUCAUUAAAUCAGUUAUCGUUUAUUUGAUAGUACCUUACUACUUGGAUAACCGUGGUAAUUCUAGAGCUAAUACAUGCUAAAAACCUCAACUUCGGAAGGGGUGUAUUUAUUAGAUAAAAAACCAAUGCCCUUCGGGGCUCCUUGGUGAUUCAUAAUAACUUAACGAAUCGCAUGGCCUUGUGCUGGCGAUGGUUCAUUCAAAUUUCUGCCCUAUCAACUUUCGAUUGUAGAAUAGUGGUCUACAAUGGUUUCAACGGGUAACGGGGAAUUAGGGUUCUAUUCCGGAGAGGGAGCCUGAGAAACGGCUACCACAUCCAAGGAAGGCAGCAGGCGCGCAAAUUACCCAAUCCCGACACGGGGAGGUAGUGACAAUAAAUACUGAUACAGGGCUCUUUUGGGUCUUGUAAUUGGAAUGAGUACAAUUUAAAUCCCUUAACGAGGAACAAUUGGAGGGCAAGUCUGGUGCCAGCAGCCGCGGUAAUUCCAGCUCCAAUAGCGUAUAUUAAAGUUGUUGCAGUUAAAAAGCUCGUAGUUGAACCUUGGGCCUGGUUGGCCGGUCCGCCUCACCGCGUGCACUGGUCCGACCGGGUCUUUCCUUCUGAGGAGCCGCAUGCCCUUCACUGGGUGUGUCGGGGAAUCAGGACUUUUACUUUGAAAAAAUUAGAGUGUUCAAAGCAGGCCUAUGCUCGAAUACAUUAGCAUGGAAUAAUAGAAUAGGACGUGUGGUUCUAUUUUGUUGGUUUCUAGGACCGCCGUAAUGAUUAAUAGGGAUAGUCGGGGGCAUCAGUAUUCAAUUGUCAGAGGUGAAAUUCUUGGAUUUAUUGAAGACUAACUACUGCGAAAGCAUUUGCCAAGGAUGUUUUCAUUAAUCAGUGAACGAAAGUUAGGGGAUCGAAGACGAUCAGAUACCGUCGUAGUCUUAACCAUAAACUAUGCCGACUAGGGAUCGGGCGAUGUUAUCUUUUUGACUCGCUCGGCACCUUACGAGAAAUCAAAGU
rnacentral:rRNA from 1 species